rnacentral:misc_RNA from 1 species
CAGAAAAAAAUAUAAAAUUCAAAACCAUCUACCUGAAAACAAGCAUGCCCCGUAUGCAAAACUAAACAAGCCCCAAUUCUUGAUUCACCGUGCUCCUUCUUCUUCAAUGUCUUCCUAUACCAGAUCAUACUCAUCUCAGCAGUCCUAUGCCCCUUCUGCACCGUCCCUGCCCGACUCUUUUGACCAGCAGGACCACUCAUAUUAUAGUUCUCCUCCUCCUCAUCCAAGUGACUACAUUCGGCAGCAGCAGCAGCAGCAUCAACCGCCACCUUCUUAUGCGGCAGGAUAUGGGCAGAGUGAGUACUCUUAUGGGUACUCUGGUUUUGCACAGGGGACACAUCCAGAUGUGAUUAGGAGCUUUCAGAUGGUGGAUAG